rnacentral:rRNA from 1 species
UGGGGAAUUUUGGACAAUGGGGGAAACCCUGAUCCAGCCAUCCCGCGUGUGCGAUGAAGGCCUUCGGGUUGUAAAGCACUUUUGGCAGGAAAGAAACGUCGCGGGUUAAUACCCCGCGAAACUGACGGUACCUGCAGAAUAAGCACCGGCUAACUACGUGCCAGCAGCCGCGGUAAUACGUAGGGUGCAAGCGUUAAUCGGAAUUACUGGGCGUAAAGCGUGCGCAGGCGGUUCGGAAAGAAAGAUGUGAAAUCCCAGAGCUUAACUUUGGAACUGCAUUUUUAACUACCGGGCUAGAGUGUGUCAGAGGGAGGUGGAAUUCCGCGUGUAGCAGUGAAAUGCGUAGAUAUGCGGAGGAACACCGAUGGCGAAGGCAGCCUCCUGGGAUAACACUGACGCUCAUGCACGAAAGCGUGGGGAGCAAACAGGAUUAGAUACCCUGGUAGUCCACGCCCUAAACGAUGUCAACUAGCUGUUGGGGGCCUUCGGGCCUUGGUAGCGCAGCUAACGCGUGAAGUUGACCGCCUGGGGAGUACGGUCGCAAGAUUAAAAACUUAAUCGAAAUUGAACUGGG